CACCCCUAGAUCCUCGGUGAUUUCAGAGCUGUUCUCUGCAGAACCGCGGUGAGGUCGGGGUGCCGUCGUGAAGUGAGUUUGAGGAGAGGGCUUGAGGCAGGACAAACAGGUUUCGGAACCGCAAGGAGUUUAGAGCCCUGACUGGCCUGCUGUGCUGUGUCCCAACCAGGAGCAUCUAAGUAACACUUUGCAGCUGGGGGUGUGGAUGGAGCUAAAUGCUUAAUUUGACCAUGAAAAAAAUCAGGACUGGAUUCUCAGAGAAGAAACAUUUUCA